rnacentral:lncRNA from 1 species
UUCGAGCCUAGCUGACAAAACAAACAAAACACUGUAAAUCUUCAAGUACCUAACAAAAUUGUUUGAGCCUAGAUACAAAACUAACAAAACUACAUAUGGCAGAAGAAAACAAAAUAUAUAUGCACUCAGUUAUCUAACUAAUGGUUGAUAAAACUUGUUGUCUACCGUUCAGUACAAUCUCAUUGCCCUGUGUUGUUAAAACAUAU